UGCGCAGGCGGGCGUGUAAGUCAGUGGUGAAAUACUGCCGCUUAACGGUAGAACUGCCAUUGAUACUGCAAGUCUUGAAUAUGGUUGAGGUAGGCGGAAUGUGUCGUGUAGCGGUGAAAUGCAUAGAUAUGACACAGAACGCCAAUUGCGAAGGCAGCUUACUAAGCCAUUAUUGACGCUGAGGCACGAAAGCGUGGGGAGCGAACAGGAUUAGAUACCCUGGUAGUCC
rnacentral:rRNA from 1 species